CCCAUUUAAAAAAAUCAAUACUUAAUAAUUAGCAAUUAAUACACUUUCCAAGUAUAUACGACUGCUAUCUUGUUUUCCGCAAUUUUUAAUGAGAAUUAUGCUUUUAAGGUUAAUAGAUAAACGAUGUUUCAAACAUAAGUUAUUUUUAUGAAUUUAUAUCAUUUGUCUCAAUAACAAAAAUUAAGUUUUGCUUCAUAGAAAAAGUACAAGUAAUUAACUAAUUAAUUCAUACCUUUUAUUGAAUAAAAAAUACAAUUAUGGUGAUUAAUUGAAUAUAAACGGAAUUACCGUACGCACACAUUACGCCAUCAUUGCUUAAUGAACAUAUCUUUUAAUAUAAUUUGUACUGUAAUAUUUAACAGAAAUAUACAUACAUCAAAAAUGAAAUAUAUUUAACAUGUUAAAACAUGUUAUUGUUGUUGUAACAUGGUAAUUUGUUAAUGUGUUAAACAUAUAUUUAUUAAAUAAGUAUGAACUAUUAAUAAAAAUCACGAAAUUAAUUAAUUUAUAAA